rnacentral:rRNA from 1 species
GACGAACGCUGGCGGCGUGCUUAACACAUGCAAGUCGAGCGGUAAGGCCCUUCGGGGUACACGAGCGGCGAACGGGUGAGUAACACGUGGGUGACCUGCCUCUAGCUCUGGGAUAAGCCUGGGAACUGGGUCUAAUACCGGAUAUGACUCCACGGCGCAUGUUGUGGGGUGGAAAGCCUUGUGUGGCUAGAGAUGGGCCCGCGGCCUAUCAGCUUGUUGGUGGGGUGAUGGCCUACCAAGGCGACGACGGGUAGCCGGCCUGAGAGGGCGACCGGCCACACUGGGACUGAGACACGGCCCAGACUCCUACGGGAGGCAGCAGGUGGGGAAUCUUGCGCAAUGGGCGAAAGCCUGACGCAGCGACGCCGCGUGA